GCCGCCCCUUCCAGGAAGGCGUCGCGGCUCUGCGAUGGGGGCGCGAUGCUGCCUGACCUGCUGAGUAUUUCCAGCAUUUUCUUGUUUUACUUUCACAAUAAACUUUGGGUAGCAUAGUGUUUUGAAAAUGGAAGAAAGGAGUCAACCCCUUAACCCCUCAAACAUGAUUGCCUGUUGUUGGAGUGGACCAGUGCUAGAGUGGGGGACUGAGGCUUUGGCUCAAGAGGCUUCUGUGAGAGUAGGCGGAGGUUAAAGUAAGCCGCUGGAAAGAAGCAACACGAGCAAGGCCAGAAUUUAUUACCCAGCCCAUGACAAAUUGGCUGUCGGCCAUCUUGGAUUGCUAGUCCUUCUGGUAAAGAAACCUACAGAUGUGGGUGUUCUGGUGCACCUGCUGUUUAUCUUCCUUGGUGGUAGAGGUCACAGGUUUGGAGUGCACCCUUCUGAAUGCUGCACUUGAAUCUGUCUUUAUUUUUGCUCUUGACAAUGCAUUCCUGAGCCUAACCACUCACUAUAUAAAUAAGUUUUUCCUCCUGUCAUUUUUGUUUCUUUUGCCAAUCAGCUUCAUCCUUCAUCCCCUAGUUCUUGAUCCCUUCUACAAUGAGGAAAUUUCUCUCUAUACUAUAUUUUCAACCAUCGCAAUUUUAAAUACCACUAUGAAAUCACCACAUAAACUCCUCUGUUCCAAGGAAAAUAACACUGGCUUCUCAUCCUUGGAUCAUUUUGGUAAAUCUAGGAAGUUGUGGGCAUGCUAUGUUGGCGCCGGAAGUGUGGCAACACUUGUGGACUGCCCCCAGAACACUACACAAAAGAUGUAUUUUGCUGUGUGUUUCGACGUACAUGUGACUAAUAAAGAUAUCUUAUCUUAUAGC